AUUCUGGGAGUUGAAGUCCACGAGUCAUAAAAAAGCCAAAGCUGCCUACCCCUGGAGUAGGCUUUAUUCGCGGAUUCUGGCGCGCGGCUUUCUUUCGCGCGGGGCCUCUGACUGUGGAUGGUGCUGCGAGGAGUCGGGGGGGGGGGAGAGAAAUGGGUGCCUGAGCCGGGCGUGAUGGAGCAAAGGGCGCUCUCUCCUCGCCGUGGGGGAUUAGUCAGAUAAAUAGAAAUCAGAAAAUAAUUCCAGUGGAUAUUUUUCUUUUUCCUUCGAAUUGCGUACGAGGAUUCCGUGGUGUCGGGGGAGGGAGAGUAACCGCCUCGCUCCUUCGCACGAGGAGGAUUCAUGCCUUCAGUUCUGGCGAAAGAGGCGAGCGUCAGGCUCGCGGGAGGGGAUGAUGUGUGUUGUAGUCUGCGCGGCUGAAGGGCACGUGCGUGGGGAUUUGCUUCCCUGCUGCUUGCUUUUUUUUUUUUUUAAUUCGGAUGCCGUCCCGGUUUAUAAACCACAUGUUGGGUGGCAAAUCCGAAUUACUGAAGUUCCGGGAACGCUUAGAUUGGGGGGGGGGGUCGGGGGUCGGAGCAACGCUUGGCGCUAAGUUGGUUUUUGAUGGUUAUAUAGAGGAAUUCUCUGAGCCAAGGACUUUGUGGCCCCUUUUGGUGUACUCACUAAAGUGGCUCUUUACCUUAUGGUGAAAUGUGGCAAUUAAAAUAUUAAAUGCAUAAUGUGAUUUACUUUUAAGGACAUGCAUCCCAAACCUCUAGCUGUAGUCUGUGUUUUAGACAUCUACCAUUUUAUCCUUGGAUGGAAAAAAAACCACGAAUUGUUAAUUUUGUUUUGCUUUCUUAAAGAGUUAUACACGUGCAAUGUUUGGAACAUGGAGUCUCAAAAUUUGAGGAAACCAAAAAUUUCUCUUGGAAGAUGUACAGGUAUGUUUUAAAUGGUUGAACAUUCUUCACCAAUUCAUCUGAUUUUUUUUCCCCUCAGUUUUUAAAAACUGUUCUUAACUCUUUUGUAAUCUGAUGGAUCAAAUUUCCAACACAAAUGGGGAGAUGAACUUCAAGGUUUGUCAAAAAUAUAGAAGGCAAUGUCUUGUAUUUUCCUGAUUUUGUUUAUAAUAAAAAAAUACCUUAAUGUUG